GGUCACACAAUCACACAGGAGGUGAGGUGGGGACACAGUGGGUCACACAAUCACACAGGAGGUCACAGGAGGUGAUGUGGGGACGCAGGAGGUGAGGUGGGGACACAGGAGGUGAGGUGGGGACACAGGAGGUGAUGUGGGGACGCAGGAGGUCACACAAUCACACAGGAGGUGAGGUGGGGACACAACAGGAGAUCACACAAUCACACAGGAGGUGAUGUGGGGACGCAGGAGGUGAGGUGGGGACACAGGGGGUCACACAAUCACACAGGAGAUGAGGUGGGGACGCAGGAGGUCACAGGAGGUGAUGUGGGGACACAGGAGGUGAUGUGGGGACACAGGGGGUCACACAAUCGCACAGGAGGUGAGGUGGGGGACACAGGAGGUGAGGUGGGGACACAGGAGGUCACACAAUCACACAGGAGGUCACAGGAGGUGAUGUGGGGACGCAGGAGGUGAUGUGGGGACACAGGAGGUGAUGUGGGGACACAGGGGGUCACACAAUCGCACAGGAGGUGAGGUGGGGGACACAGGAGGUGAGGUGGGGACACAGGAGGUCACACAAUCACACAGGAGGUCACAGGAGGUGAUGUGGGGACGCAGGAGGUGAGGUGGGGACACAACAGGAGGUCACACAAUCACACAGGAGGUGAUGUGGGGACGCAGGAGGUGAGGUGGGGA